rnacentral:lncRNA from 1 species
CAUCAAUCGGAUUCUCCGACCGAUCUUCCCGAGAAGGAGAAGCCCUAGCUGUGAGAAUUACUCUAAAGAAGACAGAAGACUUUAGAAGAAAGAAGAAAGGACUCGAAAGAAAGGCAAAGUUGACCUAAAAGCUAGAAGCGAUAACCUUGGACGUUGGAGCAACAACCCAGCAGAGUCCCAGCACCACCAAAGACAGUGAGAAGUAAAAAUUUUGCUG